rnacentral:rRNA from 1 species
GACGAACGCUGGCGGCGUGCCUAACACAUGCAAGUCGAGCGGGGACAUUGCGACGGACAUGAAGAUUUCGGUUGGAUUGAAAGAUGUAAUGUUCUAGCGGCGGACGGGUGAGUAACGCGUGAGCAACCUGUCCCUUACAGGGGGAUAACACAGCGAAAGUUGUACUAAUACCGCAUAAGACCACAGGAUGACAUCGUCCAGGGGUCAAAGGAGUAAUCCGGUAAGGGGUGGGCUCGCGUCCGAUUAGAUAGUUGGUGAGGUAACGGCCCACCAAGUCGACGAUCGGUAGCCGACCUGAGAGGGUGAUCGGCCACAUUGGGACUGAGACACGGCCCAAACUCCUACGGGAGGCAGCAGUGGGGAAUAUUGGGCAAUGGGGGAAACCCUGACCCAGCAACGCCGCGUGAGGGAAGAAGGUUUUCGGAUCGUAAACCUCUGUCCUUGGUGAAGAGGAAGAGACGUAGC